GUGUAAGUAUGAACUACUUUAGACUAUAAAACAGCGAAUAUCUCAUUAAAUCAGUUAUAGUUUGUUUGAUGGUACUUAUUACUCGGAUAACCGUAAUAAUUCUAGAGCUAAUAAGUGCAACAAACCCCAACUUCUUAAAGAGAUGCAUUUAUUAGAUAAAAGGUCGAUGCGGGUUCUGUCCAUUGCUGCGAUGAUUCAUGAUAACUCAACGGAUUGCACUUGUUAUAAAUAUAAGUAUUAAAUUACUCAUUGUAAAAGUAACACAUGUUAUAAAUAUAAGCAUUAGAUUACCAUUUUAGAAUGUAG
rnacentral:ncRNA from 1 species